rnacentral:rRNA from 1 species
ACAUCGCCUCUUGAGUAAAAAUAAGAGGUCCAGCCUGCCCAGUGACAAAUGUUCAACGGCCGCGGUAUCCUAACCGUGCGAAGGUAGCGUAAUCACUUGUUCUUUAAAUGAGGACUAGUAUGAAUGGCACCACGAGGGUCGCACUGUCUCCUUCCCCUAAUCAAUGAAACUAAUCUUCCCGUGAAGAAGCGGGAAUUUAUCUAUAAGACGAGAAGACCCUAUGGAGCUUUAAAUUUCUCUUCAAACGCCAGACAUAAACCCUAAACAUCUUACACCAACCCGGCGCCAUGAAGAUGAAUUUUAGGUUGGGGUGACCACGGAGAACAAGACAACCUCCACGCUGAAUAGGCCUAAAACCUUGAACUAAGGACCACAGCCCGACGAACUAAAAAAUUAACACCCAUUGACCCA